rnacentral:pre_miRNA from 1 species
AUGCCGCCUGUGACUCUCACACCUGGUACGUUCGUGGAUGCUAUUAGGUGUGAGGGUCACAGCUAGUUUGGUGGAGG